rnacentral:misc_RNA from 1 species
GAUGAAGAGCGCAGCGAAAUGCGAUAAGUAAUGUGAAUUGCAGAAUUCAGUGAAUCAUCGAAUCUUUGAACGCACAUUGCGCCCCCCAGUAUUCUGGCGGGCAUGCCUGUUCGAGCGUCAUUUCAACCAUCAAGCCCUGCUUGUGUUGGGGUCCUGCGGCUGCCCGCAGGCCCUGAAAACCAGUGGCGGGCUCGCUAGUCACACCGAGCGCAGUAGCACAUCUCGCUCAGGGCGUGCGGCGGGCUCCAGCCGUUAAAGCACCCACCUUUCGCAAGGUUGACCUCGGAUCAGGUAGGAAUACCCGCUGAACUUAAGCAUAUCAAUAAGCGGAGGA